CUGGGCCCGGAAGGUGGGUGGAUUGUGAGAUCCCACAUUGAUUGGAAAGAGAAAUGAGUGUCAGCGACGAUGCUGGGACUCGUAGGUAGGUGGAUUAUGAGAUCCCACAUCGAUUGGAGAGGGGAAUGAGUGUCAGUAAGAACGCUGGGCCCGGGAGGUAGGUAAGUGGAUUGUGAGGUCCCAUAUCGAUUAGAGAGGGGAACGAGUGCCAGCGAGGAAGCUGGGUCCAGAAGGGGGGUGGAUGUGAGAUCCCACAUCGUUUGGGGAGGA